rnacentral:rRNA from 1 species
UACGUAGGGUGCAAGCGUUGUCCGGAAUUAUUGGGCGUAAAGAGCUCGUAGGCGGUUUGUCGCGUCUGCUGUGAAAACUCGGGGCUUAACCCCGGGCCUGCAGUGGGUACGGGCAGACUAGAGUGCGGUAGGGGAGACUGGAAUUCCUGGUGUAGCGGUGAAAUGCGCAGAUAUCAGGAGGAACACCGGUGGCGAAGGCGGGUCUCUGGGCCGUAACUGACGCUGAGGAGCGAAAGCGUGGGGAGCGAACAGA